GUACAUGAUGACUCCAAUGGCCCAGCAGUCCACAGGGCGUCCAUACCGCUGCCGGCCUACCACCUCUGGGGCUGCAAACAGGAUCCAUCUGCUGGUGUGCAGCUUGCCUGUCGUCUUGUCCUUGGCCCGGAAGAUCUCACAGAACUCCUCACUGCAGCCAGCAGGCACUCCACUCAGCCCCGGCCUCAGCAUGGGCUGUACUCCACUCCCCUUUCCCCAGCCCUGGCUCGCCCACCCUGGCCCAACAGACCCGGCACUCACGUCUUGAUGACCUGUCCCAAAUCAUAUCUGUCAGUCACCUCCGAUGGCUGGUUAUAGUUCUUCUUGUCGCCCAGAGUCACACACCCAAACGGCAUUGCCGGGCUCUGAGCUGCAGACAGGAUGGGGUCUGCUUCAGAUGUCCCACUCCCCACUUUUCCACACAAUGUAGGGGUUGUCUUUGGGAAACCCCAACCCGGCUCAGAUCAAGCCAGAGGCCACAUCUACACCAGAAAGGGCUAGAGGGUGGUCAGAAUGGGAUCCAACCCCUGCCUUUUUGGCCAUACUUCCAGCCACUCAGCUUGGCUGCCUAAGCUACAGCAGCCCCUGCUUAUGAAAAAUAUAUUAAGCUGACAUAUCCUAGAAUCAUUCCGCAUUAUGUAUAAUCAAAAAGAGAUUUAUCAGAUGAUUGAUUUCAAUUUCAGUGAUUUCACAGAUGAAGGGAGUUGUAGCUGCCCACCCAUCAGAGUCAUCUUCGCAAGUCUAAAGAUGCCAGGCGUUGGCAAAGAUGCGAAGAACAUGAGCACUGCUGGUGGGGGGCAAGUGUCCCAUGUACAAAACAGUUUGGUGAAACUAUUGAAGUCGAACAUUCCCUAAUAACCAGCAAUUACACAGCUGAAUAUACAUCCUACAGAAACAUAUACAUUUGUGCAGCAGGACACUCAUACAAGAGUGCUCAUGGGGCUGCAGUAUUCCGAAUUGCCCCAAACUGGAAACAGCCCACAUACCCUUCAGCAGCGGAUGUAUUGUGGGAGAAUCACACAAUGGAAUAUUAUUACACAACAAUGGAAAUGAGGGGAAUGAGGGAACUACAGCUCUACCCAACCACAUGGUCAAUCUCACCAAUACAAGUGUUGAGUGAAAAACCAGCAAAUACAGAGUUCACAACAGGCAUCACUAAUCUAUACUGUUUAAGGAUACAGACAUACUGGUCAAACUGUAAAGCAACACCAGGAAGUAAACACCUUGAGACCUCCUAAGAGAAAUAAAAGAGGUUGUGAUUGGGGGGGAUUCAGGAGGACCUAUUUAUGAACCUGAGUAGUGGUUUCACAGGUCUGAGCUUUAUAAUAAUUUGGACAAAUGUACAUACACGUAUUGGGUUCAUUCCUAGAUUUUUGUUAUAUUUCACAAGAAAAAAUGUGAAUAAAAAUUAUGGCCAUACAUA